AUCUCAUGACUCCUCCCUCCCGAUCUCCUCCCCUCCCGAUCCUCUCCCCAUCUCUCCUGUUCUCCUCCUCCCCCUCUGCAGAUCCACGCCGAACAUGGGCUCCUCCUCGCGCCCUCCUCCUUAUCUCCUCCGCCAGACACGGGCUCCCCCAGCCUCGCCGCCAUGGAGGAGGCCGCCAUGGGAUACGGCGCCUCCUGCGCGAGUCGCCGCCUCCGAGGACAGGCGCGUGAGGAGCUCGGCCUCCUCCCUCCUCCUCGCUCGCGGCCGCCGACCUCCUCCCUCCUCAUCGCGUCCAUGGUGCGGUCGCCGGAUCCCCGGUUUCCUCCGCCACGACGAGAUCCGGUUUCCCCCUCGACCAUGCCGCGGGUCUGCUUUAUGUUGCCCUCGACCAUGCCGCUGCCG
rnacentral:lncRNA from 1 species